GGGUUGUGAGGUUAAGCGACUAAGCGUACACGGUGGAUGCCCUGGCAGUCAGAGGCGAUGAAGGACGUGCUAAUCUGCGAUAAGCGUCGGUAAGGUGAUAUGAACCGUUAUAACCGGCGAUUUCCGAAUGGGGAAACCCAGUGUGAUUCGUCACACUAUCAUUAACUGAAUCCAUAGGUUAAUGAGGCGAACCGGGGGAACUGAAACAUCUAAGUACCCCGAGGAAAAGAAAUCAACCGAGAUUCCCCCAGUAGCGGCGAGCGAACGGGGAGCAGCCCAGAGCCUGAAUCAGUGUGUGUGUUAGUGGAAGCGUCUGGAAAGGCGUGCGAUACAGGGUGACAGCCCCGUACACAAAAAUGCACAUACUGUGAGCUCGAUGAGUAGGGCGGGACACGUGGUAUCCUGUCUGAAUAUGGGGGGACCAUCCUCCAAGGCUAAAUACUCCUGACUGACCGAUAGUGAACCAGUACCGUGAGGGAAAGGCGAAAAGAACCCCGGCGAGGGGAGUGAAAAAGAACCUGAAACCGUGUACGUACAAGCAGUGGGAGCACGCUUAGGCGUGUGACUGCGUACCUUUUGUAUAAUGGGUCAGCGACUUAUAUUCUGUAGCAAGGUUAACCGAAUAGGGGAGCCGAAGGGAAACCGAGUCUUAACUGGGCGUUAAGUUGCAGGGUAUAGACCCGAAACCCGGUGAUCUAGCCAUGGGCAGGUUGAAGGUUGGGUAACACUAACUGGAGGACCGAACCGACUAAUGUUGAAAAAUUAGCGGAUGACUUGUGGCUGGGGGUGAAAGGCCAAUCAAACCGGGAGAUAGCUGGUUCUCCCCGAAAGCUAUUUAGGUAGCGCCUCGUGAAUUCAUCUCCGGGGGUAGAGCACUGUUUCGGCAAGGGGGUCAUCCCGACUUACCAACCCGAUGCAAACUGCGAAUACCGGAGAAUGUUAUUACGGGAGACACACGGCGGGUGCUAACGUCCGUCGUGAAGAGGGAAACAACCCAGACCGCCAGCUAAGGUCCCAAAGUCAUGGUUAAGUGGGAAACGAUGUGGGAAGGCCCAGACAGCCAGGAUGUUGGCUUAGAAGCAGCCAUCAUUUAAAGAAAGCGUAAUAGCUCACUGGUCGAGUCGGCCUGCGCGGAAGAUGUAACGGGGCUAAACCAUGCACCGAAGCUGCGGCAGCGACGCUUAUGCGUUGUUGGGUAGGGGAGCGUUCUGUAAGCCUGUGAAGGUGUGCUGUGAGGUAUGCUGGAGGUAUCAGAAGUGCGAAUGCUGACAUAAGUAACGAUAAAGCGGGUGAAAAGCCCGCUCGCCGGAAGACCAAGGGUUCCUGUCCAACGUU
rnacentral:rRNA from 1 species